CUGAGCCACCCAGGUGCCCCUUUACUGACUUACUUUGAGAGACUGGCAUAGAUCCAAUGGAUCCCUGAGCCUGUAUUUUCCCUCUUAUACUCUUAUUUCUGAGGGGCCGAAAGAGAAGAGGCAAAUACAGCAUUAGGCUGCUACAGUAAUAAACGUAUCAUGUUUAGGUCAGAGGAGACUUUCUGCACACUAUUCUUUGCCCUGUUUCUGACCACUUUGGGAAUAUUGGAUUAGUUCCUAGCACUGUGUUUUAAGGAGGACAUUAAAAAGACCCUGGGUGACGAUGAUGAUGAAAAAAUCCGGACAGACAUUAUACUAAACACUUGAAGUUUUUUUUUCACUAAAUCAUUACGAAAUCCCUUUGAGGCAGACAUGCCAAAGUUGGAAAAACUGAAGCUCAGGGAAAUGCAUGAGCUACUUAACAGUCGUGCUGGGAUCUGAACUCAGGACCAUCUGACUCCAAAGUCUAUGCCUUUCACACCACGAUAAUCAUUAAUUUAUCUAAACAUUUAUUAUAUGCUAGGCAUUGUUGUAGGUGAUUUAUCUUAACAAUCCUCACUAAACACCUAGGAAGCGGGGAAUAUUUGUUACUCCGUUUCACAGAUGUCAGAGCAAAACGUCGUAUCCUCUCUUGCUCAAGAGAGCAGAAUUAGGAUUUGGAAGAACUUUCUAAGAAUCCGUCUGUGCCAACAAGACUAUCUCAGCUACAGGAGAGCUGGCUGGAAGUAAUGAGCGUCGCAGUCAGGGACGGUUGGCUGAACUCACCAUAUUUUCUCCCUAGAAUUGACUUCCCAGCAAUCCUACUGAAGUCACAGAAUACUGCAUGUGCAAAGCCAAAUUAAAA